rnacentral:lncRNA from 1 species
UCACAAGCCAUGUAACGAGCGUUAUUUACCUUUUUUUAAAGUAAGUUGCACUUUCUCCAAAUAUAUAAUUUAUUAUACUUAAUAUUUAAUUUUUCUCAUGAUUAUUUGCUUAAGUUAAAUUUAUAUAUGUAUAUACUUGUAGGGUUGCAUUGGAGCACUUGAUGAUACAUAUGUUAACUCUAAAUUGUCGUAAGGUCAAGAAAUAUCGUAUAUUGAACAUA